GAGCAAUUUAAUCUGACUUGGUGUAAAUAUCAGAAACAACACAUUCCAUUGCACUUGAAUGAAUCCACAUGAUUAUCCAAUUGAUCAACCAUGCGAGCUUCAAAAGUUAAAAAGCCUAAUUGCAUUACCAUAUCCACCAACAAACUUCUGACUAUAUUAAUAUGAACCCUUGUUGAUGAUAAGAACAACUCUCAAACUAAUUCUUUAGAUUCUUCUUUGGAAUCAAGCCGCUUCAUCCAAUUUCCUUAGAAAUCGUGCAUAUCUAUCUAUAGAAAGGUCCCUACAUGUUAUAUUUCAAUUCGAAGAAGGUACUCAUGGUUUGUAAGCUCUCCAUCUUAUUAAAGCACUCAUGAGUCUUAACAUUGUUUGCAUAGGGUAUACUCUAGCACUGGAUUAAUAUGCUCACCCAUACCACCACAUUUUCAAAGUAAAUACAAAUCCUCAUGCACAGGAAUAUCGAAUAUAUUACCUAGAAAAUGUCAAAUAUAUAUAUGUGAUCAGUUGGAAUUAUGUGUUGUACUUCGAUCACACUCAAUCAGCAUAUCAUUUUGACCAAAAAACUUGAUAAUAUUUAUUAUGUCAGAAAGAAGUGUACUAGUUCUAAAUAUAAACAAACACAUAAUAAAAGAUGAGAUGGUAUUGUCACUAGUAAAGACAAUCAGAGAAAGACUGAAGAGAAGUAUAAGAAUAAUGAUAUGGUCAAUAAAUCACAAAAGAGUUAUCAUUACACCUUCAAUAUGAAGAAGAAUUCAGAAAAGUAACUGAGAUGCCUAAGAAAGUCAAAGUAAUUAGCAUUGAGAAACUUGCUGCUGAAAUUUAGAUAGAUAAACAUGUUAACCGAGCAGAAGGGGCAACACUAUCGCUGACUUUUUUACUGCUUCAAGAAAACUUAUACAACAGGAUAUCGUCAAAGAGGAUUUGAUCAAAGUGUUAAACUCUCAUAUAAUAGUAAACCACAAUAUAUACCAAUUAUUUGGUAUAUCCAAAGAGAUAUUUUCCCCACGAUAAACCCUGGGUUGGGUGAGAGACAAAUCAAAUGUUGGUCAAGUGGGUAAGACCAUAUUAUGGAUGGCUUAAACUAAAAAUGGAUGGAGGGGCUUGAUCUCACACUGAUAUGGAAAACUAGGAAUGAUAUGAGGGUCACUCAAGACUAAAAUAGAGCUAUAUGGUGUGUCCUAUUAGGCCAUUGCUUAUGAUUUAAGAUACAAUAAACCCCACAAGUGACAAGUCUGAAGGGUUAGGUGAAAGAGAGGGCAAAUAUUGAUUGGGUGAGUAUGACUCUCUUCUGGAUGGCUUAAACUAAACAUAGUGGGGCUUAUUCUCACAUUGAAAGCGAUCAAGUUGUAAGGCAUUUAAUCAGAAACUCUGAUGGUCAAGGAGUAAGGCAUUCAAUCAGAAACUCUAAUGGCUGAGCAAGGCAUUUAAUCAGAAACUCUAAUGGUCAAGGAGUAAGGCAUUCAAUCAGAAACUCUAAUGGUCAAGGNNNNNNNNNNNNNNNNNNNNAUGGUCAAGGAGUAAGGCAUUCAAUCAGAAACUCUAAUGGUCAAGGAGUAAGGCAUUUAAUCAGAAACUCUAAUGGUCAAGGAGUAAGGCAUUUAAUCAGAAACUCUAAUGGUCAAGGAGUAAGGCAUUUAAUCAGAAACUCUAAUGGUCAAGGAGUAAGGCAUUUAAUCAGAAACUCUAAUGGUGAUUGUUUAAUCUUUGGUGGCAAAUAUGUGCCAGAGAGCUAAUGGUGAUUGUUUAAUCAAUGGUAGCAAAUAUGUGCCAGAGAGCAACAAUAAGCACUGUGAAGCAAUUGAUAUGGGGGAAGGUCUCCAAGUUGCUAUUGCGGAAAUGAUUUCUAAGCUGCAUGCAAAGAGUGAUGCGGCUUAUGUUGUAAGAGUAGUCAAUCACAUGAAAUUAUAACGUGUAUAAAGACAUUUUUGACCUGAUAAGAAUAUUUUAUAUAAUCAACUUAUCUCAUGUACAUUGAGAGGCAAACAAAGUGAACAACAAUAUUUUUGAGAUUAUAGAUGUAAAGGGAUUGUCUUCUCUCGUAUCACAGGAGGAUUUUGUUAUAGGACUUUGUAUCAACAUAGUUCUAAUUUUUGAGAAAAAUAAUAUAGUUUGAAUUCUAAAAAUUAAAACUAUGGUAAUUCAAAUAUCUAUAACAAAAUCCUCCCCUUACUUCAGAAUAGACAAUCAGAAAGAGCUUUAAGUAUCAAUCUGUGCCACAAAAAAUGGACUUAAAAGUCAUAGCAAAGCUGACCAUCCAGUUGACCGCAUAUACAUGAGAAAAAUUGGUUGUAUCAAACAUUCUCAUUAGAUUAAAAAUAUCUUUGUACAUAUUGAUUUGUUAUAGCCGCAUCACUAUCGACCUGCAGCUUAUAAAUCACCUCGUAAAGAUCUUCCUGCAUAACAUUUACUUCACAAUCCUGACAUUGUCCUUUGGCAUAUACUUGCCACAGAGAUUAAACUAUCACCAUUAGAGUGUUUGAUUAAAAGCUAUCCCUUCGGUGUGUUCGGUAUGAGAUCAAGCCUCAAUUAUGUUUAAUUUAAGUCAUCAAGAAUAGGAUCGCAUCCACCUAGCCAAAAUUUGACCUAUCUCACCCAACUCUUCAAACUUGUGGAAUCACAAUGGUCUUAUAGAACAGACCAUUUAGCUUUGUUUUUGUCUACAUACCACUCAUAUCAUUAUUAGAUUUCCGUAUUAAUCAUAAUCCAUUAGCAAUCAAGUCUAUCAGACUCGAAGCAUUUCAGUGAUAACUCUCUUAUGAUUGAUGAACCAUAUCAUUAUUCAUAUUUUCUUUUUGAUCUUUCUCUUAUUGUCUUUGCUAACAAUACCAUCUUUUGUCGAGUGUUUCUUUAUAUAUAAAGUUAAUACAUCUUAUAGGGUAAUAGAUGUUAUCGAGGUUCUUGAUCAAAAUGGUUUGAUCAUGGUACUUGAAGAUUAUAGUAUGCCUAUGGAAAAACAAUUAUA
rnacentral:lncRNA from 1 species